GAUGAACGCUAGCUACAGGCUUAACACAUGCAAGUCGAGGGGAAACGACAUCGAAAGCUUGCUUUUGAUGGGCGUCGACCGGCGCACGGGUGAGUAACGCGUAUCCAACCUGCCCAUCACUUGGGAAUAACCUUGCGAAAGUAAGACUAAUACCCAAUGAUAUCCCACGAAGGCAUCGGAAUGGGAUUAAAGAUUUAUCGGUGAUGGAUGGGGAUGCGUCUGAUUAGCUUGUUGGCGGGGUAACGGCCCACCAAGGCAACGAUCAGUAGGGGUUCUGAGAGGAAGGUCCCCCACAUUGGAACUGAGACACGGUCCAAACUCCUACGGGAGGCAGCAGUGAGGAAUAUUGGUCAAUGGGCGAGAGCCUGAACCAGCCAAGUAGCGUGCAGGAAGACGGCCCUAUGGGUUGUAAACUGCUUUUAUAAGGGAAUAAAGUGGGUCACGUGUGACUUUUUGCAUGUACCUUAUGAAUAAGGACCGGCCAAUUCCGUG
rnacentral:rRNA from 1 species